GUACAAUAUAAACAUACUAUAUUUAGGUAUACACACACACACACACACACACACACAAUAGGUACAUAACACAGGUAUCCUACAUGAACGUUUUGCCAAGGUUAUAGUAUCUUAUAAAGGAGAAAGGAACCUAGGAAUAUCUCUUCCAGAAGCUAUACACAAAAACGAAUUCAUUGGGUUGGGAACCUGUCACUAGGAACAAGGAGGCGGAGCAUAGAAGUUACGAUAAUUGUUAAAGCAUGGCUCUACUGCCAACCCUUUCUAAUUCUGCCCUUUCCAGGGCUUUAUAGACAGAAGGUUCUUGGGCUCUGUCAACUAUUUGUCUAUAAUUCAUUCCUCAGAGCCCCUCUGAUAUAAGGGGGUGGAUGAUAUCCUAGUCCCAUGUUACAGAAAAAGUGUUCGUGCACUUCCUGUUAUCAUUUGAUUAAUUGCUUUUAUAAGUGGCUGGGACCUCAGCAAGUUGUCCUCUUUCUCAUGGGCCUCAGAUGGACUUAUUUGCAUUGUCUUGAGAUUGUAACUCACCUCAGCUUGCUCUGCUCCUCCACCACAUGGCCUAGUCAGCAGACCUACUGACUUUAAUAAAAAUUCAGAAUAACUGCUCCCUUGUGACCACAUUAUACUGCUCUAUAGACAUUAAAUGGAAAAGGCAUUCAAGAUACUCCAAAUUUAAUAAAUAAAAUGGGGGCCAGCUGAGCACUAUUGUUGGUGUUUUCGUGCAAGCCUAUGGAUGAAGAGGUCAAGUGAAUGGAAAUUCUUUUCUUCCUCUUCAUGUCUCUACUCCUCCUAUUGCUGCUGGAGGGGUACACACGUGGGAAUCCUCCAUUGUUUGUGGGGUUCUUGGGGCACUGCUGAAAUCAGCAUUUUCCCAGAAGCCCCCCACGGAAGGAUGAGAGGCGGUAGAAGAUUUUAUUGGCAUGAUUGUAAUGUCCCAUUUCCCCUAAGCCAGUCCUGAAGAGGGGCAUUGGGUGUUCAAUAGAGUCAGCAACUAGGCCAGCAUCCAGAGUUUCUGUUCCAUGUUGCAGCCAGCUGUGGUUUAGCAUUCAGGCCAGAUUCAAGUCCAUUAAUCCACGUGUGAAAUCCAACAUGGUGGGGUGCCAUGUGUGCACAGGGGAGCACCACCCCCUGCAGCAGGAGUCUCAAGAGGGCCCAGGUCCCUGGAGCCAAGAGAAAGAAGAAGGGCUGAACUUCCUUUGUUGGGGAGUUUACAUAUUUAGAUUUUGAGCGCUUCCAGUGGCCAUGCCCAUCCUGGCCAAUCACCUUUUUCCAGGUGUGAUUGAUAGGCAAUUAGCCUCCCAAAGAUUUCCAUAUUCUUGCCACAGCAAUCCCAGGAGGGAACUCAAGGGGGCCACAUUAAUAUUUCUGCCUUAAUCAGGAUCUGGACCCAGGGACAAUGUUAAAAUAAGUCACCCUGGGGACAAUGUUAAAAUAAGUCACUUCUAGAAGUACGAAAAUAUUUGUAUGUCCCUGCCCUUUUGUCUACACAACUAUUGAAAAACCAAUAAACAUUUCCAGGGGCUACUAAAUGAAUGCGGAUAUUGCAAAGUUUUUAGGAGAGUGCUGACUGAGAAUUUCAGAAGUAGUGACAGAGGGUGGAAGGAAUGGAAGAUUCUUCCUCUAGUCCUCACAUUAUGUAACCAUUGAGUUUCUCUCUACCAACACCCACUCCCUCCCUUGUCUCUGACAUGUUUUUUUUUCUCCCCGGACUGAGUUGGUCUCAAGAGAGACUUAGAUACACUUGGUGCACUUGGAACAUGUAAGCCCUCUCCUGCUGAUCCGCCUUGCAAAGAGUCCAAGAAGCCGAGAGGUGCCAAGCACCAGGUGUUUUCUUUUCACUCUGGUUUUGCCCAGCCUGGCAUGGCAGGCAGCAGAGUUAUUUUGCUUUUAUAAGCCAUAUUAUAUAACUAAGAUCUUGAACAGCGAUGCUGAGCCAACUUAGAGGUCAUAACAGAGUGGGGGGGGAGAACAAUCAAAGAAAUGGAGAGGGAAUGGGAAAGAGAGCAAGGAAGGAGAAGGAGAAGGGAGAGAAGAAAAAAUAGAGGGGAGAGUGGAGACUGAGGGAGACCAUUUCAUUUAUUCUUGCUCAUAUGUUCUUGGUCUCCUGUGACGGGCUAUGCAACCUGAAGAGUUCUUUAGCCCUCCUUUUAACUGGCGAGGGGGCAGCCUUUAGUUCACAGUCUGUGGAGGAGGUCCCUGAGUGCCAGCUGCCUGCAGGCAUCACCCCAGGGCCCAUUGGUGUCCCUGUUGGAGACUGCAGCAGCCUGGUGUGGUGCAGUACUCAGUGUUCCUUGUGGAAAACAAACAAGCAAGACAUUGUCUCCAUUCACCCAGCCUCCGUGCUGACUACAUGAGCUGGUGAGUGAGGAAGCCCCAGUGGGAAGCCUUUUUUUCUUUUUCUUUUGAAUUUCAGAAGAUGAUAUAGCCCACUACAGCCCACUUCCAAGAAGUUGGAUAGACAUCAGGAGCAGAGGCCAAAGACAGGUGUUUUGUUUUUAUUUUGUUUGGGGGAGGCAGCAAAAGUUAUGCUCAGUAACUGAGUUUGUAUUUGCCAGUAAUUCAUCUAGCACAGGUUCGCUUUCACAAGCCACUAGCAUGCAGGAUAAUAUUUCUGAAUAAGCAAAAUAAAGAAAUAACAUAUUCCCAACAAAUGACAGAUUAAUCACACUAUAGUUCGAGGCAAGGGGAAGUGAAGAAAUAGAGUCCACAUUUAAUAUGAUGUGUACCUUUAUAUACUUGGAGGCACCCAGGAGAGCCACUGUCCAACCAAGAGCUGAUUUCCAGCUGCCAGCACAAAAGUAAAAGUACUCUGUUGCUAGGGCAUGUUGCUAGGGAACAGAGACGCCAGUGCUGGUAGGCAGGCUGAUCGCUUUCUAGCAUAUCACCACCAUCCAGAAGAAAUGUCUCGCCAAGACGCGAAAGAAUGCCCCAAAGGUAUUUGGAGGAGUUCUUAGGUUAGGGAAGGGUCACCUGGCCCAAACGGAAAGUCUCAAAUAUCCCUCACAAACUCUCAGUGUUUAUAGCCUUAAUGUCCCCUUGCCAUAGUUGCUUCUCCAUGUGUUCAUUACAGAUAAGACCCCAGUUGGACCCACAGAUGGGCUGCUGACUGCUUAUCAAUGACAGCAGAUGUAGAAUGAUGACAUCAUGACAUGACUUACUUCAUUCUUACAUAACAGCGAUGUGGGAUAAUGACAUCCUGACACAACUCACUUCACACUUAUAUCAAAGCAACACUGGUUCUUCGUUCCCUAGCAACGUGCUGUAGCAACAGAGGACUUUCACUUUUUGACGCUGGCAGCUGGACAUCAGCUCUUGGUUGGACUCUGAGUCUUCCUGGUAUGAAAAGUAUGGGUCCAGAGAAGAAAGAAUCAUUUGAUGUGAGCCCCAGAGAUGCCUGCCAUCCUGGCUGUAAUCCCAGAGAAGAUAGAAAUAGCAGAGCUCAUGGCUCCAACUUCCAUCCUCUCUUUGGCCUGAAGUCUUUCUCCACUGUUGCCGGAGUUUUAAUUUCCUUUAUUGCCUUGGACACCUCAAGCCCCCUUCUGGGAUGAUGGAACUUUGUCAGAGCAUCAGGAUUGGGCUGGCAUGCUUUCCAGAGGUCGUGGUGUAGAGAAACACGAGAACAUUCCAUUAUCUCCUUAGGAGGCACAGUCAGACUGUCAUUGUCCCUCCUGUUUCCUUCAAGCCAAGUGACCCCACCAAAGGAAGUCAUGUGAUUUAACCCCUCACCACAAUCUCCAUCAACUCUACUUGCCCCCAACCCCAUCAUAUAAUCUAAGGAAAAGCAGUGUGCUUGCUAACUCCAGAGAGUAAACCCUUUCCACACACACUGCUACAGCCUACUAGAAAACUCCUGGAGUUAAGCUGAACUUGCUCAAGGAUGAACACCUGAAAUAGUUUCCACGAAUGCUGCUAAUAUGUAGGAAACGACUUAUAUAGUACAGAGUUCCUUUGAGCCUCAUAGUUUUCAUUUCUAAAAGGUUUCUACAAAGUGUUAAUUUUAUGUAUCAACUAGGCUGGGCCAUGGUGCCCAGGCACUUGAUCAAACAUUAUUCUGGAUGAUCCUGUGAAGAUGUUUUUGGAUGCGAUUAACAUUUACAUUGGUGGACUUGGAGUAAAGCAAUUUACCCUUAAUAAUGGAGGUUGGCUUCAUCCAAUCUGUUGAAGGCCUUAAUGAAACAGAUUGACGUCCCUUGAACAAGACUCAACUUGCAGUUCUUCCCUGAAUCUCCAGCUGCUGGCCUAACCCAUCAGAUUCUGGGCUCACCCAGCUUCCACAAUCAUGUGCCUUCCUCAACAUUUUCGAAGCCCACACAAAUGCUCACACCAGCUUGUGGCCUCCAUCUACCCGGUCCAGAAGCAGAAGCAACACGAUGUGCGAGCUGUUUGUCUUUCUCGGAGUCUGCCUGCUAAGGUUGGAGGUAGGGCCCAGGCUCCUGUGAUAAUCCGUUUGAGUUCCGUCACUCAUGACGUUGUCCCAGCUCUGCACUUACUAGUGAGUGACACUGAUGAAGUUAUUUAACCCCUCUAAGCCUCAGGUUAUUCAUUUGUAGUAUGGGGAUAAUAAUAGUUCCUACAUCAAAAGGUGGUUAUAGGGAUUGAUGAAUGUGUAUUGUUAAAGCAAUGCCUCGGUUUUCUAUGGCUGCCAUAACAAAGUACCACAGACUGCGUGGCUUAAAUUCCUGUUGUUUAAUCAAUUUCUCCCAGUUCUGGAGGGCAGAUGUCCAGCAUCAAGGUGUCAGCAGAGUUGGCUUCUCCUCGGCUUGUAGAUGCCACCUCGUGCUUUGCCCUCACAUGGUCUUUCCUCUGUGCACACAUGCCCCUGGUGUCUUGUUCUCUGUUCUAAUCUCUUUUUAUAAGGACACCAGUCACACUGGACCAGGGCUCACCCUAACGGUUUCAUUUGAACUCAAUCACUCCUGUCAACGGCCCGGUCUCCAAAUGCAGUCAUAUUCUGAGGGUAUGGGGCUUAGGGCUUCAACAUGUAAAAUGGGGGAGGGGGGCUUAAUUCAACCCGAAACAAACACCUAGAACAGUGUUUAGCACAUAGAAUGUUAAAUAAAUACAAUCUAAUGUC